UCCCGUUUAGCUCAGUUGGUAGAGCGCGUCACUAGUAACCCGCAGAGGGUACGACAUGACGAGGUCAGUCGUUCGAGUCGGCUAAUGGGAA